GAAGCAUGAAAUCAGGUCUACCCUGUACCCGGGUGAUUCACCUACUGACUGCCAACCAGGUUCCCAGGCCGCCAGGGAGGGAGGCAUGGCCGUGUUGGCCACUCUCUGUGUUCUUUGCCACCGACCAGGAACCAACACUGAGACUUCUUCCUUUACCUGUCACCUAGAUGUCUACUAGGAUUUUGACUCUGACUUCUUCUCACCUGCAUAUGUUCUCCUUGGCUCCCCUGGCUUUCACCACAACUUGUCAGGAAAAGAUUCCUAAGAAGCUACACCUCAGCCUUUCUCCUAGGAGCAUUACGAAGAGAUCUACCAUGGAAGUGGCAGUCCAAAAGCAAUCUCAACAUGAUCAAAACUGUACUUAGCAUCUACCUAACCAAGACAAGUUUCUGCUUCUGUUUUGUUAUCUGGAAAAAAGGCAAUCCCACCCCUGAGGUAUCAAGUUAUAAACUUCUCUGGUUGGGGGGAUUUCUGGGACUCUUCACCGUCACUCUCUGCUUGCCCCAACCUGAUGAUUACACCUGCCAGUUCUGCCUUCCAAAUAUCUGUCCAGUUUAUCCCCCCAAUGGUAGGCGGUCUGUCUUUAACUUCUUGCCACCUUCCACCGAUACCAAUUUUGAAUGGUUCUGUUUCUCUGUCUUAUGUGCUACCCCUUCCAAUUCCGUCUGGGUUAUACUAGAGGGAAACUUUCUCAAGGACAAUCUGAUCAUGUUGCUCCUUGGUACCCUGGACACAUCCAAAUUAAACUGUCAUCACACCCUACUAUGAUUGCUGGUUUUCCUGUCUACCCACCCCACUCAGCAGUUCUGUAGAGGAUGGCUUUGAGCUUUCUUUAUCCCUAUAUCCCCAGGGCCUACACAGCUCAGUGCUAAUAAAUGCUUGUUGGUUCAAUGAA